UCUUUACUAGUGGCAGCGAGGGCCGCCCCGGACGCCGAGGGUCUGUUCACGGCGCUCUCUGAGCGGCAGAAAAAAGGCUGCGCGGCAGAAGUUUUGUUGGGGGUUCCCCUUUUUUUUACUUGGCGGUAACAACCCAUCACUGGCACCCUAAAAGGAACACUCCAUUUUAUUGUGUGUCAGUACACUGUCCGUGGACAUUGCCAAAGAAAGGAAACUGCAGUUUUGCAUAAUCUCCAUAUAGCGACAGCCACCCGUGCUUCUAUGGAACACACGGUGUUCUUUGGCAGCCGCGGUGCUCGGAGCCGGCACUUUGCUUGCUGUGCGCAGUAGACAGAGCAGAGGACCGCGUUUUCCCAGAGCCUGGGUUUCUUCUGUCGCACAGCCUGCUGGUGAAGGUUGCAUGAGAUGUGAGUGUUGCCAGCACUGUGUACACUGUAAAAAAUUACUGACAUAAUGCUCUCUGGUUCCUGGAGCAUUUAUUAAGUGCCCUUAACUGUCUUGACUUUGUGAGGGGAAGAUUUUUCCUUCAGGAUUUUCUACGUUGUGGGAAGAACAGAUGGACAGACUCAGAGCCAAAAUAAACCGUAGGGAUCAUAGUUUUAUUUCUUAAUUGAAGGCAUAAUAGUAAUACAGUCUUAUUAGCAUAUAUAUAGCAUAUAGCCAGAUAUAGGGCCCUUGGGGUCACUGGCUUAUCACAGUUUGCCUUGGAAUUUCCUGGUUUUAGCACUCAAAUGCCCAUGCCCUAGAAAGCCUCUUUGUCCCAGGCAAACUGGGACAGUUGGUCAACCUUGGACUGUUUUCAGUGCCACAAGCUGGGAGGAUGAGCAGAAUGGGAAGUGAAGGUUCUUGCUGUAUAGAGGUGAUUAGGGUUCCCUGCAGCUGGAGGUUACUGGACAAAUGGAUGUUCUUGUAUAAGAUAAGUGUGGGCUGACACCUGAAACUCGGCACAUCCAAAGUCAAAGUGAUCAUUUAACCAUCUUUAUUGUUCUUCCUUCUCUCGGUCCCCACACAUGGGUUCUUUAAAAAAUAUAUGUGUGUGUAUUUAAAAUUACCUAUCUAAUUCUAAUCUUUAUCUCUGGUAAAGGCUUUACCAAACUUUUAGUCACUUCAGAGUGAAGAAGUUCUUUGUUAUACCAUGUUACUAUUUGCCAGUCCGAUGAAGCCUAAUGCUGCCAUGAUUUGUUGCCCAUAUUCAUAAUUGAAGAAAGACUUAGAUGGAACCCUGUCAUCUGGACCCUGUGAUCUCUGAAUUUGUGUAAAACUUAUCCAAAUAGGAUUGUUUUGCCUCCCUUCCCACUAAUACAAUUGGAGACAUUGAAGUAUUCUAAGGAUUGCUUUUGAUGGGCGUCCUGAAAUUUUAUCUGGGACAAAAAUGGUAAUUUUGUUUAAGGUUGUUGAUUUCAUGAAGCUUUAAACUUCAGUCUAUUUUGCACUGAUUUUCAAUUUGCUUCAGUAUUUGUGGAGGUUUUAAUCCCUUUCAAGAGGAAAUGUGAUUAUUAUAGUAGAGUAGAAGGCAGCAUUUGGACAUGGCUGACAGUGCAAGCAUUUGCUGUAACUAAUUUUCAUCUGUAUGGAUACUUACAACUGAACCAAAAACAUCACCUUAUCAAUCAUAGAGGACUAUAGGGGACUUGCAUCCAAAUCAUUUAACUUCUCAGGGCUCCCUUUUCUGCU